CGCCCUUGGGUAUGAUCAGUACGGCGAGUGAAGCGGCAAGAGCUCAAAUUUGAAAGCUGGCUCCUUCGGGGUCCGCAUUGUAAUUUGCAGAGGAUGCUUCGGGUGCAGCCCCCGUCUAAGUGCCCUGGAACGGGCCGUCAUAGAGGGUGAGAAUCCCGUAUGGGGCGGGGUGUCUGCGUCCGUGUGAAGCUCCUUCGACGAGUCGAGUUGUUUGGGAAUGCAGCUCUAAAUGGGUGGUAAAUUUCAUCUAAAGCUAAAUACUGGCCGGAGACCGAUAGCGCACAAGUAGAGUGAUCGAAAGAUGAAAAGCACUUUGAAAAGAGAGUUAAACAGCACGUGAAAUUGUUGAAAGGGAAGCGCUUGCAACCAGACUCGCUCGCGGGGUUCAGCCGGGCUUCGGCCCGGUGUACUUCCCCGCGGGCGGGCCAGCGUCGGUUUGGGCGGCCGGUCAAAGGCCUCCGGAAUGUAGCGCCCUUCGGGGCGCCUUAUAGCCGGGGGUGCAAUGCGGCCAGCCUGGACCGAGGAACGCGCUUCGGCACGGACGCUGGCAUAAUGGUUGUAAACGACCCGUCUUGAAAAACGGACCAA
rnacentral:rRNA from 1 species